CUUGUCAAAUCCUCAAAUGAUUCAAGUACAUGAAUGAUUCUAAUGUAAUUCGAUCCAUGAAUACUUGAGAGAGCCUGAAGCUAAUUCAUGAAAUCAAAUAGUCUAAAGUUAACUCAUAUAUACUCAUUUCGUUAUAGCUAACGUGAUUGAAAUUGCCUCAAUGAGUACUAUGAUCGGACUACACAAUUGAAUUCGAAUUAUGAUCAUUAUGUUGCUAUAUAUUCUAACUCUUGGGAAGUUAUGAAUUACUCAGAGCUCUUGUAGAGUUUAUAUGAGACGUAUCAUACACAUAGAUAUUGAUGUGUAUGGUUGGAUACGCCAUGAUGAUGUUUCAAUGCUUUAAUGUCAAUUAGCUUAUGUUGAUUAGCUAUUACUUAGUGUAUGAAUUUUAUGUUGAUUAGCUAUUACUUAGUGUAUGAAUUAGGUCAUACGACUUAAUGAGGUAAGACCUAUUUAUAAUCGUCUAGCUCUAGCUAUUGUUAUUACUUUAACUUUGCAGGUUUGAAAUUUCAUGAUGAGCCCCUAUAUGCAAAGCACACAUGGUCUCACUUUAGUGACGGACAAAUCAAACCGUUAUUUACGGCGCAUGAAGCUUGCAACGUUCAGGGGGAGAUUCUCAUCAAGGGGAGCAUCCAAAAGUAUGUUACCUAAAGACAUAUGAGCGUUGCACUCUUUUUCUCCUUCGACCAAGGUUAUUUUUCUUCCACUGGGUUUUUCUUACCUGGCAAGGUUUUUAACGAGACAACAUUAUGCGCGUCUAAUUUCAUCAUUCAUUAGUGGACAUCCAAAGAGGAGUGUUAUAAAUAUUAUAAUCUAUGUGGCUGUCCACGUAAUUACUCAUUAGUUAUGUACUCUGAUGUAAACUCUAUAUCUAUAUAAAGAGGCUAAUAAGAAUGAAUGAGUAGACUUCUACCUCCUCCCAACUAUUAUCUCUAUGUCUUCUCUUCUUCUUUUCUUUACUUUACAACACUUCUGGCUUUAUUAAUAGUAGAUUAUUGAGAACUUUAAUUGGAGCUGUCUUUUGUUGUGUGGUUCUAUGAACAAUAUUGCAUGGGUAGCAUCAUGCAGCUGAGUUUGAUACCGAUAUGUUUGUAGCUGCAGCUGGUAUUAAUUUAGAGUCAUUGAGAGAUCAAGCGGAAGACUAAGCAAUGCAAGAUAUUAUAUUUCAUCUUGUAUAACUUUGCUAGGAAGAGGAAUUAUUAGGUGGUCGGGGAUCACCACAUCAGAUCACCUAACUAAGCUAUAUUGCUAUAUGAUUGGGUAGAAUGUGAUGUUGUCUGUAAAUUUGACCUUUCUAACCAUAAAGAAAAGAGUUUGUCAUAAAGAAUCUAAUUUAGACAAAGGAGUUCAACUCCUAUUCACGAGGGUCUUUUUAUUUUUAAUAUAAAUUUUUAAUCUUAAUCAAUGAUUGAUUUCUUCUCUCUUUAAUAUUACAACUAAAACAGAUUUCUAGCAUUUUUAUUUUGUCUUUUUAAUAUGAUUUCCUAACCCAAUUAAAACAGUUUUAAUAAUUUCUUUUCAUAUUCUUUUUUGUUGUUGUUCAGUAAAUUUUUCAUGUUGUCAACUUAAUUAUGGAUGCUUUAGCUUUAUUCGAAAAAUAUGGUAAGAGAAGCUGAUCAAUUGGCAAUCUCAAGAAGCAAACUUGACAAAUCCAUCCCAUAUCAAGCUCACCUAACAAGUAACAAGUAAUGCAUAUGCAUUAUCCCAAAAAAAAAAAAAAAAAAAAAAC
rnacentral:lncRNA from 1 species